rfam:Ictidomys tridecemlineatus contig062846, whole genome shotgun sequence.
GGGAUUGGGGCUCAGCAGUAGAGCGCUCACCUAGCACGUGUGAGGCCCUGGGUUCAAUCCUCAGCACCA